ensembl:lncRNA
CUCGGAAGGAGGUCACUCAGCAUCUGCAGGGGCCUCCAGGAAGGUUGUGGAGUCCGGGUAGCCUAUUCCGCACGAGUCCCAGUCAUCCUGACACAUAAGCCUGUCCGUGGUGUCGCUGAGCCGCCUCUGUUGUUCUCUCCACCUCAGGCUUAUCACCAUUGACCUGUGCUCAAUUAAUACCAGGGAGUUGAUGGAGUGAUUGGACUGACUGCUCAAUGAGGAUGCUGAAGUUCCCAUGGGCAAUAGACUGGAAGAGUAGGCGUGGAGGAGAUGAAUCCUGUCCAGGUGCCAGCCAUCCAGGAAUAAAGAAGUGUUUCCAGAAAGAGUAAUCAAGCUGACUCAAAAGUACUUGGCACACAGGUGUGGACCUUGAGUCCCAAGCAGCGCACCUCUUGUAGUGACCACAAGGGGGCGGCAGAGGGCACAGUCCAGGUAUCAAGCUGUAGAUAAUGGCACCUGGUCAGCUAACAGCCCUGCUGGGAAGGAGAUAUUGGCCUAUGUGAUUUGCAC